rnacentral:lncRNA from 1 species
AAAAAGAAAAAGAAGAAGAAGGAAACGUGGACUAGGUGCAUGAAUAUAUAUAUGUGUAACUUGACACCUAAUGAAUUUUUAUAUCCACAAGUAACCAUUAGCCUUAACUAUCUUCAUUUUCUUUCACUCAACACUGAACAUAAACCCAAAGAAAAGAAAAAGAAAGGCCGAGAGAGAAUGUGAUGCUUUCAUGGAAACCGUGAGUUUCCGACUCUAAUUUCUUGUGAUCCGUAACUCCAAUAAAAAAUCUAAUCCGAUGAAAGUAUUCGUAUCUUUCUCCUCUACGUGUUGGUGUCAUUUUUGUCUGGUAAAAGUUGACGGUGGUGUAGCUCCUCUUCUCCUUGAGUUCGGCUAACUGGAGUUCUAGGAAGUACAGACGAUUUCUGACGCUUUCUUCUUCAGCAGCUCAAUCAGAAAGCUUUUCCAGAGCUUUCGAGGAUUUUGGUUCCGUACGAAGGUAGGGGAUUUUAUUUUGAAAUUAACUGUUUUAAACUAUGAAUGCCAUGGAAGUCUAGUUGGUAUUUGUAAAUAAUUUAAGAUUGUUUAGAAUGACUGAAUAAUGAAUUUGAGUUGUGGUUGUGACUGAAUUUGAUGAAUAUGUAUUUGAUUUCUUGAUUGAAAAGAGGUUGAAAAUGGUUCAGUUGGGACCUGAAAAGGGUGGCUAAGCCCGAGUUUUAGGGAAAGUGCUGCCAAAAUUUUAUAAAAUCUGAGGUUUUAUUUUAAAAGUUAUUUUAAAAGAUUUGGUUUUAGAAAAUUAAAUUAUUUGAGAUUUAUUUAGUUGAGAAAAUGUGUGUUCUAUUUUUUUUUUUAAAAAAACUCGAUUUAUUAAAGAAAAAUAUCAUGUUUUAAAUCCAAUUUUGUAAGGAGAGAUUUUGUUUUAAGUGUUGUUUUGAGCUCGGUUUUUUAAGAAAAGAAAUCUCUGCCACAGGAGAGCAGGGAACAAGGAUUUAAAGAAUAUAUUAACUAAAAGGAUCUCUACCACAGGAGAGCAGAGAACAAAGAUUAAAGAAAUAUAUUAAAUUAAUGAAAUGUCUGCCACAGGAGAGCAGAUGUGAUAUUGUUUGGGCCUUAGUGCCAAAUGUAAAGUGGGGACGCCCACACACUGAGAACUGUUUUCCAGAUGUACGCUUAUUGAUUUGGAAAGUCACACUGUAUGCGGCCUAGCCGUACGACUUAUAAGCACACUGUAUGCAUCUGGAAAGCCAUAUCUGGGACUCGUGCCCGGGUAAUGUCGGGAGCGGGUAGGCAACCGACACAUGAGCUCAUGGCCUGCAUUAGGGACAGGCAUGCAUCAUAUGCAUUUAUAUGACAUUAUUUGGGUGUGCAUAUUAUAAUUGGUUUGCCUAUGUGAAUAGUUACAUUUAAUUGCUAAUUGUUCUACUUGAUAUAACUGCUUGAUUAUGUUUGAACCUUCUUACUUGUGUUUGUGGCUGAAAAUUGGUUGGAUUGUGAUGAAUUAGUAGUUGAUUGAGUUGCUUGGGCCUAGGGCCGUGGUUGAUUAUGAGAUGUUGUGGUUGAAAUAUGACUAAUUUUGUGAUUAAAAUCUGUUUUGAGUUAAGAAGUUUAAAGAAAAGUAAUUAUUUAUCUGAAGUAGAGAUAAAAGUAUUUCCAAAGGUUUAACAAAAUAGUUUUACUGAGUAAGUUAAUUAUUUGCAUUGAAUUCAUUACUUUUACGGCAUUCCCAAUCCCUAAUGAGAACGUGUGGUUUGUUCUCACCCCAAAUCUUCUACCCUUUCAGUGACAUAGGUUCAGAGAUUCAAUAAGAAAAUGCAGACGACUAGUAGAUUUACUUGUGAUUCCUGUUGUUUUUAUAGAGUUUCCUCACCCUUGUUGCUUCAAGAUUUUUAUUUUAUCCAGAGGAAUAGGUAUUGUAUUUGAGUUUUACAUUGAAUUUAAUUGUAUAGCAUCUAUUAUAAUUAAUAAUUAUGUGAUUAUUAUUAUUUGAAGAUCUUUUGUUAUGUAAUUUUAAUUACUAAAAUCUAUUUUCUGGAAUUUUCUUAAAAACAGAAACGCGAUAUCGACGUAAAGGCUCAAUAUUAAACAGAUAAAUAGUAAAUAAGGAAAACAGCUUAGUAACGCCUCACUUUUGGUACGAUCAUGACGUGCUAAAAGUUAGGGUGUUACAAACUCAAUCAUCGAUAUUCUUUUAUUUUGUUUUUUAUUUAGUUAUUUUAUCUGAAUAAGCACAUGCAUUACUUACAAAAAUUUUUGAGAUAAUCAUGAUCAUUCAACACCUCUAUUUCUCUUUGUUUCUUGAGAACAAGCAAUCAUUCUAAGUUUGGUGUAAGAGACUACGUUCGAAGAACAAAAGGGAGGUAACACUAUCUUUGAGCUUUAAUUCCUCAUUUUUGUUUUUGUCCUUGGUUGAUAAUCAUGAUUCAUUUUUCUUUAUUUCACUUUAGUUUUUAAAUUCACUUGUUCUCAAAAUUCUUAAACAUGUAACAAAGGACUUCUAAGAAAAUUCUUUCCAAUAACUUGAAGAUUUCUUUUUAUUUUAGGGUAAGUUGGAUUAAUUAAGAAAAGUAGGACUCUGAUAGUAUGAUUGUGUAAUGAGGUUACAUAUUUGUGAAAAGCUGCAUGGAGAGCUCUAAUACAUGAAAUGAAGUUUAGGAAAGUAUUAUGGAUGAUCUCAAGGUUCUGAGCACUAGUGGCUAGAAAGGUUAAAAAGAAACAAAACUCAAAGAGUUUCCUAGUUAAGUGCUUGUGGUGUUGCUGUGUCAAGGACAGAGGCUUGAGCAUGUAAAUCUGAGGGGUGCUUCAUCACCCAAUACCUUGAAUCAACUAAUUCGGGAGUGUUGAUUAAAAACUUAUCUUAAAAAGCUUCAUUGAGAAAGAACAUUAAUGGUCAAAGCCAAGUGAUGGCUUAUUCAGAGAGGAGCGACGAGCACGCGUGAGGUGACGUGUACGCAUGGGUUGGCUUGUGCCAAAGGCACAAGUCCAGCACACUUCAGGCACAACUCUCAGGUUUUUGGCUGGGAGGUAGAAAUUUGGUAUCCACGCGUAUGCGUGGGUGACGCGUGCGCGUGGAUGGUCGAAAAUCUUGGGGUCACACGUACGCGUGGGGCACGCGUACGCGUGUGUUGGUUCUCUGUUUUUCAAAAUUUUUUCAAGUUCUUGCACCAAACCAAGCAUUCCAAACCUCUAAACAGCUACCAAAACACCAUAAAACCUUAUUCAACAUACUAAACUACCAUCUAAACUCAACUAACUCAACGAAAUAUGAAAUUAAACUAAUUUUACCAAUAUUUACAAAAGAAAAAAUGAAAAGAUUUUACCAUGGUGGGGUGUCUCCCACCUAGCACUUUUAUUUAUUGUCCUUAAGUUGGACUUAUGGGGAGCUCCUUAUCAAGGUGGCUUGUGCUUGAAGCUAUCCUUGAACAUCCACCAAUGCUUGAGUCUCCAAUGAGCUCCAUUCUUCAAAAUUAAUGCCAUCAAGCCUUGAUGGAGUUCUUCACAAGCCAAGGGCUCCCAAAUUUGAUUCUCCUUGUGCGAUCUGGGAUCCCACACUUUUUUUUUGACACCCGUAUUCAAAUUGAUCAUCAUUAUUCCAUUUGGGUGCCAUACUCUUGGAAUUCUCAAUAAAAAGCCAAAUUCUCCUUCUAGACCCAUCCAAUUUAGCACUAGUCCAACCUUUGUAUUUCAUCUUUGAUGUAUCAACCAAAAUGAGCCUUGAUUUGUAACGCCAACCAUGAAACAUUCUUCUUUUACGCUUCAUCCCACAAAGUUUCCUAAGUUGACCAUCCGUUUCAAACAAGCCAUACUCAAGUGGGAUAAUAAAGCUAAUAGAGAUGACUUUAACUCACUCAAGUGUAGGAGAAGAUGACAACCUAGGUAAAGAAGCUUCCAAAGAUCUUGACAAAGCGCAUUCAACUCCCGUCCUUCUUUUUCUAAGGACCUCCACCUCCUCACAAGAUCUCUUGAUUUUAAUCCUUUGUUCAUCAAUUUCAUCUAACUCUUCUCCCUUACUAAAACCAUCAUUGGGAAGAUGAGAGAAGUCUACCUCCACAACACUUUCGAGUUUACUGGGAGAAGGUUCUUCAAGUUCAAAGGAUUCUUCACCACUAAGAUUUGAUGCUUGAUCUUCAAUGCCACGGGAACUCAAUUCUUGCUCUAUCCCAUCCAAUUCUUCAUAUGGAAUAUGCCUUGGAGGUUGUGCACUCUCCUCCUCAACAUCAAAGUCAAUCUUCUUGGAGGGGUUUUCUAUGAUUCUAGAUUCCCAUGGAGGUUCCGCAUCUCCUAAGUCUUCAACCACUUCUUCCUUUUCUUCAAUGAUCAUAGGUUUCUCCAAUUGUUCUAACACAAAACAACAUUUCUCCUCUUCCACUGGAGUUUUCAAUCUCUCCUUCAUGCUAGGCUCUUCAAUUGAUUCUCUACAUGUGGCCAUGGGAGUCCCUUGAGUGUUCAAGCAUUGGGAGGCUAAUCGGUUUACCACUUCAUCCAAGGUGGCCAUGAAUUAUAGUGCCUCCCUUUGCAUUUCUCUUUAUUCUUGGAGUAGCAAAGUGAGAGAAUCAUCCAUUGGGGCUUAGGGUGGAUAGGAGGGUUCAUUGUUUUGGAGAAAUGGUUCAUAAUAGGAAGGUGAUUCUUCUUGGUAAGGGUAUUGAGGUGGUGUGUAUGAAAUGUGUGGUCCUUGAAAGUAAUGAUGUUGGAAUUGUGGUGGCUCUAUGGAUUUUCUAACAUAAUGGUCACAAGGAUGAGGUAAAGGUGAUUGGUCAUAUAAUGGAUGAGGGUCAUAGAAAGGUAUUUGGUGAAAAGGGGCUUGUGAGUAUGGUUGGGGACUAUGUUGAGGAUGAGGCUCAUAGGCAUGUGGUGGUGGUUGUUGACACGUACAACAGGGAUGACCACAUCCAUUAGAUUGAUAUGCAUUAGGAUUGGAGUUAUACCUAUAUGAGACCAAAGGAGGUUGUUACCAAGAAGGUUGAGGAUAUGCUUGAGACUCCUCCCACCUUUGAUUGUUCCAUCCUUGAUGCGUAUUCUCAUUGUAAUCCUCAUUUCCUACAACAUAGUUGUAACCAAACUCAUAGCCAAAAGGAUGGAAAUUCAUAAUAGCAAAAGCAAAUGAAAACAAAAUCUAAUAAGAAACAAAGAAAACCAAAUCCUAAGACUAGCAAGAACUAACAAAGGCAAACAUAUUCACAAUAUUCACAUAUAUACAAUAACUAAUAACAAGGCACACAUUUGCAAUUCCCCGGCAACGGCACCAUUUUGAUGAAGAGAAAAUUGGUGGUAUAGAAUUUCACAAAUGAAAUCUCAUUGUAAGUAUAGUUUCUAAACCAACAAAUAAUCCUCUCAUGCAAAAAUUUGGUUAUCACAAGUAACAAACCCAAUAAAAAUAACCGAAGUAUUCAAACCUCGUGUCGUCUCUCAAAGGAAUUGCAGGGAAGUGUUCUUGUUAUUGGUUAUGGGACAAGUAUUUUGGGAUUUUGAAUAAGGAACAUGAAAGAUAAAUGGCAAGGAAGUAAAAGAAACUCAAAUGAUAAAAAGGUCUUGGCAAGGAAUGAUGGUCAAGGAUCUUUAUCCUUGUCACUAACCACAACAUGAUAAUUGUAAGGAUCAAUCCCAUUAAGUCAUCCUCUAACGAGUGGAGAAAAGUCAAAUGAGCUACACCAAUCCUAAUCCAUAAGUCCUAACUUUCUCACUAAUUAAUUUAGGGAAAGCUAGAGUCAAUGGACACCAAUUAUCAAGACUUGGACAUUAGCAACUCAAUUUCACAUAAGUUACUAUCCCAAGCCAAGAACACAAAAAUCUACUCUAACAUCCUUCCAAGCAUUUAAUCAAACACUUGGAAGGCAUAAAAGGAAAGCAAGAUAAAAUUGAAAAAAAAGUAGAUCUACAACUACUCAAAGCAAGGAAUUAACAACAAUAGAGCAAAUCAACAAUAAAGGAACAUCAAACAUAAAUUGCAUUAGAAGAAAAAUAGAAGAAAUAAGAGUGCAUCAACAAAAAAGUAAACAAUUACAAGAAGUAAAGUACAAAAGUAGAGAAAGCAAAGGUAGAGGAACAAGAAAUUAGAAAGGAAAAGUAAAUCAAAGCAUGAAUUAAACCUAGAUCUAAGAAAUCCUAAUCUACAUCAAACCUAAUUCUAGAGAGAAGAGAGAGCUUCUCUCUCUAGAAACUAACUAAAGCAUGAUGUAAACUCCAUUAUGUGAUUCCCCCCUUUGACUCUUAUUCAAUUCUGCAUGUAAUAGGCUCAGAAAAUAAGUUGGAUUUGGGCCUGGGCAGCCCAGAAAUUGCCCCCAGCGUUUUCACUUUAAUGAGGUCAUGUGUGAGCAUCGACGCAUACGCGUGGGUCACGCGUAUGCGUUGCUUUGCAUUUUUUCUGUCCGCGCGUACGCGUCAUGUACGCGUACGCGUCGCCAUGCAAACUCAAAUUCACGCGUGUGCAUCGUUGAGUGCAUCACAAAUCCUUGAUUUUCCAUGAUUUCUCCACUUUGCAUGCUUUUCUCUUCAUUCCUAGCCUUUUCAAUCUGAAUUCACUAACAAACACAUCAAGGCAUCUAGUGGAAUCAAAGGUGAAUUAAAAUUAGCAAAUUAAAGGCCUAAAAAGCAUAUUUUCACACUUAAGCACAAAUUAAGGAGAAUAAAUGUGAGAAUAAUGGAUGAAAUCCACUCAAAUUAAGCAUAAAAUGUACCACGAAAUAGUGGUGCAUCAACCCCCAAAAAAGAGCUAAAAAAAGAAAAUAAGUAGAGCUGAGGAAAGAAAAGAAUUAUCACAAAAGAAAAAGAAAGGAAAAAGCUAUCUUCAAGGUGAAAACUCAUUAAGAGACCUCUAUAAUAUUAUCCGAAUGGAAUUUCUAAGUUCUAAGACUUUCAAUUGUAGGUGUAGCAAGUACUGGACUGAAAUCCAUACAUGAGCAUACAAUUCCGAGUUUACCUCACUGUCACUUGAUCACUUCACUCACCGAAACUUCAUGGAACAAUUCUUCAACCUACUUCAAUUAAAAGAAUCAUUUGUGCAUAGUUCUUUUCUUGCUUAGGGACAAGCAAGAUCUUAAGUUUAGUAUUGUGAUGCAUGAGCAUCUUUAGUUAUUUUCUUUAUUAUUUUUUGAAUAAAAUUAGUGAUUUUCUUAUUAUAAUUGAGAUUUUUGUACUUUAAUCAAUGUUUCUUGGAGUUUCUUUGAGAUAUGAUAUGUUUAAGAAGUUAUGAAAGAUUUUAGAUAAGAACAAAGGAAGAGAAGGACAACCAAAGAAGCCCCUGGGAGAACCAAGGAAUGUGGCAUGCAAAAGGAAACACCCUCCUAGGGAACCAAAAAUUGAAGACAAGCCACAACAAAGUGCAAAGAGAAUUUGUAGAUGCUGUCAAUCCUGAUAUCUUCGUACUCCAACGAGCAUAACUUAAGCUAUAGAGAUCCAAACGAGGAAGUUCUAGUGGCAUUAGAAAUCAAACAUCUAGAGUUUGAAAAUAAUAUUCAUAUGUCUAUAGUGGAUGUUCAGUUUGGGCCACGAACGGCCCUCACCUUUGAGCUCAUAAAAACAGCAUAAAAAGCCAGUGUGCCACACACGAGCCUCAUGUGCCACGCCAUCUACAUGCCCAAUCCUGACCUCUUCACACUAAAUUGAUGAUAACUUGAGAUACAGAUGUCUAAAUGAGGCGAUUCUAGUGGCGUAAGAAAACUAACAUCUGGAGCUUCAAAAUGAUAUGUGACAAACCCCAAUUUUAGGGUUUAUCUUGUGUUGAAUUUGCUGAAUUUUAUCAACUUAUCCCAUAUUUAUUCAAUAAAAUAGCAUGGUUUUGUGAAUUUCUCUUAAAUUGUGCUUAAGAUUAAUAACAUGUUUUUUGAGCUCUUAAUUUGCUAAAUUUAAUUUACUUUAAUUUCAUUCAAUAUCUUGAUGUAUUUGUUAAGUGCUUUCAGGCUUAGAAGGCAAAGAUUGGAUUGAAGAAGUGAAGAAAAAGCAUGCAAAGUGGAGAAUUCAUGAAGAAAUAAGGAUUUGGUGAAUGCAAGGCCACACGUACGCGUUCCUCACGCGUACACGUGAGGAAGGAAUUCGCCAGGCCACGCGUACACAUGACAUCCCACGUACGCGUGACAAGUAGCACGUGACCUCAUUAAAGAAACACAGUGGGGGCGAUUUCUGAGCUCAUUGAGGCCCAAAUCUAACUCAAUUCUGAAGUAUUUGAGGCCAAAUUCAAGAAGGAACAAGGGGGAAGAAAUUAGUGUAGUGUAGAAACAUGUUUUAGGGUAGUUUUCUAGAGAGAGAAGCUCUAUCUUCUCUCUAGAAUUAGGGUUCUUAGUUUAAUUUUCUCUUUAAUUUCAUAUUUUAAUCUUGUUUUAGUGUAGUUCUCUUUACAUUUUCAUGCUCUAGUAGUUUAAUUCUCUUAGUUCUCUUGUUAAUUUCUCAUUUUGG